CUGAGCCAAAGGUUUAUUUAUUCAACCACAUAGAAAAUCAAAUCCAAACAGCACGUUUUUGUUCUGUACAGCAGUGUUUCUCCGAGCACAGAGAAGUAAACGCAGCAAACAUAAGGCACUGGAUCUGAGGUUAGACGACCAGAAACCAGCAGACAGACCUGAAAGAAAAAUGUCCAUGCACAACUCACAGUGACCAACAGCCUGAUGGGCGCUAACAGCAGCAGCAGUUCUUACACUCCUUUCCAGCUCGCUCCCCUUGGCUUUUUGCUUCUCCCCCCCGCACUGAUCCACUGAGCUCCCAGCAUUUAUAACGACAUAAAAAACAAACAAGACAAAUUUAUCUUUGACUCAUCAGAGGAAGACUUCUGCAAAUAAUUUUAGAGAGAGGAGCAGACGGAGCGCUUUGUGUCUGUGCUUACCUUAGCAUAGAGACAUGGGCACAAACAGCUAGCCGAGCACGCCCAUUUAAAGCUUGUUAGUGUGUGCAAAAAGUGAAUCUGGGGUUUGAUGGGCUCACCUGUGCUAAGCUAGCUAGCUGUGUGUAAAAACUGCAGUGGGAAAAAAUUUGGUUUAACUUAUAUGAUGUCAUUUAUAUACAAAAAUGCUAACUUUCUCCCAACAGUCAUGACUUUUCCCACUGCUUUGUGCUCAACUAACUAGCUUGAUGUAAAAAUGGGAGUGGAAAGAAUUUUUUUUAAAAAACAUAUGGUUUUAAGAGAGUUACUAAAAGAUUGGAUAGGAAAUAGGAAAAUGCUACUUUAUACCUCAAGGUUUUUUUGCUAAGCUGUGCUAAAUAACUAUAUGUACAAGUGAAAGAGUAUGGUUUUAUGCAAGUUUUUUUAAAUGUAUCAUAUAGAAAAUUAUACUUUACAGUCAUGACUGAUUUCCCGCUGCUUAGUGCUAAGCUAACUAGCUUGAUAUAAAAUAUAAGUUUAGCUGUUUAACGCUAGUUAACAUUAAACUGUGAUAAUAGAAAUAGAGGGGAGAGUAUGGUUUGAGUUACUAAAAUGUAUUAAUAUAGCAAUGGUAAUUUAUGCCUUACUGAUCCUUUUUCACCAUUUUAUUUAUGAAAUGAUUAUUGUUCUAUGCCAGUGUCAUUACAUUGUUUUUUUAAUGUAGCAAAAUGCUACUCAGUCUUCGCUGAUUUUCCGUUGCUUUAUGCUAAGCUAAGCUAAACUGCCACAGACAUGAAAGCGUUUCCUCUCAGGCAAGAAAGCUAAUAAACAUAUUUCCCAAAAUCUCAAACACACAACCAGUAAAGAAACCCAUACAUUCAUCAUGUCAACACAGUGGGUAACUUUUUUUAAAUCAUUCACAAUCCUCGUAAACAAACUUAGAGCUCGACAUUCAUUGAAUCCAUUCGUCUGAGUGAUAAGAAAUAGUGCUAACAUGCUAUGCUAAUGCACUUAAAAGAAAAGAGGAGGAUAGUGUUUAUGUUUUGAUACAAAGCAAUAAGCUUGUUGAUUUAGAGGCAGCAAAACACAAAUGGAGUUAUAGAUUUUCCAACUCGGGUCCAGACUGCAUUUCCAUGGCUGCCAGUCUACACCAAUCAGAUCUCCAGAAAAAAGCAAAAGAAAGAAAGAAAAAAAAAAAAAAAUCACCACCUGUGUCCUCUUCUCUCAUUGGCUCAGAGCUAAUACCUUUUCUCGCGAGCCCAUCCCAUGUGGGCAGGGUUAGACUGAAUAUAGUUAAACCCCACCCCCAUAUCUCUCUCCUGUCUACUCCUGUACACCUCCCUGGUUGGAUCGUAGCCACCCCUUCCUCUGCCUCCUCUCCCUCCCCUUCCUCUGUAGGGCCUCCUCUGCCCUCUGUAGUUUGGCACCAGCACUUUAAACGCCUCCACCUCCUCCCAGUCAUCCUCCGUGCUGCAGCCCACAGAAUGAUUGUCCGCCAUGGUGACAGGCUUCAUGUAGCCGCUCCUCUGGCUCUGUUCAUACACGUUGGUGGCGUGGACCGGUUUCCGGGGACGGUAUUGUGACGGAGAGCCGGGGCUGCUGCUGCUGCCUUUCAUGGCUCCCAUGGAGACGUCCUUAAUGUGCGGGUCAGAAAGCAGAGCAAC
ensembl:lncRNA